AGCUUUGCAUAGUGGUAAUAUUGUAGUCAAUGAGGUUUAACCAAGGUGAGAUUAUGGUUAGUCAAAAACUUUCCCCAGUACCCCACCAUGACAGUUUGAAAUAUAGUUGACGCUGGCAAUUUUUGAUAGUUUCUACAGAGA
rnacentral:snRNA from 1 species